rnacentral:hammerhead_ribozyme from 1 species
CACUGGUCGAGAGAUGAUGCUGCUCUCCUGAUGAGUCUAAGACAGGACGAAACCAGUA